GGGGUUGGGGCUCAGAGGUAGAGCACUCGCCUAGCAUGUGUGAGGCACUGGGUUCAAUCCUCAGCACCACA
rnacentral:tRNA from 1 species